AACGAACGCUGGCGGCAUGCCUAACACAUGCAAGUCGAACGAGACCAUCGGGACCAGGGGCGCAUGGGGGCGUAACGCGUGGGAAGCUGCCCUCAUGUUCGGAAUAACUCCCCGAAAGGGGUGCUAACACCGGAUAAUGUCUUCGGACCGAAGAUUUAUCGCCUUUGGAUGGGCCCGCGUUGGAUUAGCUAGUUGGUAGGGUAAAAGCCUCCCAAGGCGACGAUCCAUAGCUGGUUUGAGAGGAUGAGCACCCACACUGGGACUGAGAAACGGCCCCGACUCCUACGGGAGGCCGCAGUGGGGUAUAUUGGACAACGGGCGAAAGCCUGAUCCAGCAAGGCCGCGUAAGUGAUGAAGGCCUUAGGGUUGUAAAGCUCUUUUAACCGGGAUGAUAAUGACGGUACCGAGAGAAUAAGCUCCGGCUAACUACGUG
rnacentral:rRNA from 1 species